GCUCACUCACUGCAGCCCAGAGCAACAUCAGGAGGGAAACUGAGCGCCGCUAUAACCGCAUCUUCAGCGCACUCUGGGAACGGCUAGAGGCCCUCAUGCAGACCACCUAUUCGUGGACCACAGCAGGAGGCAUGUUCCAAGGUCCGACAAGUGCAGUUGCAGGGAGUAACAUGGCUUGCCCCACACACCUCACUCGCGCGACGGGCAAACACCGGCGCAGACGCUGCCAGCACAGAGUAGCCAAGAACCCAGAGACUCCCAUGCCACACCGCCAAAGGCUGGCCCACCAUGGCGCGAUGGCCCUGCAAAAACCCAAAAGCGGCAUUACCCACCUGAGAAGACGACUAAGCACAAGGCCCACAAUGGCGGCAACACCAACGCAACAGCGACCAGAGCCGCAGCCACUCAGCAAGGGGACGUUACACCCCCCCACUCCCAAGCGACUGAACAGGCGACCUUGCAACGGCCAGGACACACCGAACCCCCCUGGAGCAGGGCUGGAUGCGGCACAAAGAGGUGACACAGGUCGGAGACAGACAAAAGCAAUGGGAACUGAAACUCACAGUGGCCCGGUCCAUCCUACAUACCCCAUGGCUCACCUGGACAGAGACUGUUUAAAAUGGCCCAUUAAAG